UUCUCUCAGCACACCCUCUCACACUUUAAGGCAUGUGCUAGACUCGCUGCCCGACGUUAGGAUUCUUCACGUUACUCCAGCUGUGUUCUGCUCACCCAGGGUCUACUACUGACUGCCGGACACUCUGUGCUUAUACGCACACUGCCUUGCCUUCUCCUUCUCCCUUCAUCAAAUCUUGUUCAAUUGCAGAAGAAACAAUCCGAAUGGGCAGCUGACAGCACAGCUUAUUCUGGAGGGGUUCCACCCUGGUUGCUAAACAGUGCGGAGAGAAGGGAUAAUGUUCAUGGAUUCGACAAUCUGAUGGUGGACGGGAGAAAACUGCUCCUGAUCGUUGCUCAUGGAGAACACAUACAGUGAAAUAAUUUUUUUGCAUCAAAUCAAAUCAGCGAGGUUUGUGCUGGUCAGUCUUCAAGUGUCACCACCAUCGGGUGGCAACGUCGCAUGUUCACAGCUUGCUAAUAUUAACCCUUACAUCUUUGGACUAUGGGAGGAAACCAGAGCACCCAGAGGAAACUCGCACAGUCAUGGGGGAAAAAUUUACAAACUUCUCACAGGCCACGGCAGGAAUUGAACCCCGAUCUGGAGCUGUAAAGCCGUAGCCGUUGGCACAAUGCUAUGACAGCUCGGGGCAUCAGAGUUCAGAGUUCAAUUCCAGAGUUCAACUUUUAAGUCUCCAUUAAGUUUUGGGUCCUCGUCUUGUGAGGUAACCCACAUCACUACCUCACCCAGGGGCAGUGCCCAAAGAGAAACAAACUUCUCUGUCACCUGUGCACCAAGUGAGAGGGUUAACAAAGGGGAAGGACGGUUCAGAAAAACAACAAUAAUAGCAGAGUAAGUUAAUGAGGGAGGUGGAUUGACUCCAGACAGGCAGCCAAUCGCCUGCCACUAGUCAAAUUGUGAUGAGAGCUGGAUCACUUGUCUCCCACUGCCGUCAGUAAUUAAAAAUAAAAUGGUGGCCAGGCAGACUCUGUGGAAAGAGAAACCGUUAACACUUCAUGUCCAGGAACCCUAUCAGAAGAGUUAUCAGAUCAGAACUUAAUCAGUUCUGUUGAGGAGCCCUGAAGUGGAAAGAUUUAAUUAAAUUCCUACUAAACUUAAUGGAUACGACCCACUCUAUCUCGGGUAAUGUCCUAACAACCACCGAGCACAUCUAUGUGAAGUUUUGUCGCAGGAAAGCAGCAUGCAGUAUCCAACAUCAGGGGCCAUCACCCACCAGAUCAUGCUCUCCUCUCACUGUUGCCGUCGGGAAGAAAGCAUAGGAGCCUCAGGACACUCACCGCCAGGUUCAGGAACAGUCGCUACCCCUGAACCGUCAGCUCUUGAACAAAAGGGGAUAACUUCACUUGCCUCAUCGUUGAAAUAUUCCCGCAACCAAUGGACUCACUUUCAAGGACUCUUCAUCUCAUGUUUUCGAUAUUUAUUGCUUAUUUAUUUAUGAUUAUUAUUUUUACUCCUCAUGUAUGUGAAGGACGUAAGAAAUAAAGUCAAUUUAAUUCUUUCUUUUUUCAUUUGCACAGCUUGUUGUUUUCUGCCUGCUGGUUGACACCCUAGUUAGACAAUCUUUCAUUAAUUCUGUUAUGGUUAUUAUUCUAUAGAUUUAUUGAGUAUGCCAACAAGAAAAUGAAUCUCAGGGUUUAUAUGGUGACAUAUAUAUUGAACAUUAAAGCAGUGCAUGUAGAAAUAAAACUUUUUAUCUGUGUGUUAUUACACUAUAAAACAUGGGAGCAGAAUUAAGCCAUUCGGCCCACUCAGUCUGCUCUGCCAUUCCAUCACGGCUGAUUUAUUUCCCCUCUCAACCUCAUUCUCCUGCCUUCUUCCCAUAACCUUUGACAUCCUUACUAAUCAAGAACUGUUCAACCUCCACUUUAAGUAUACCCAAUGACUUGGUCCCCACAGCCGUCUGAGGCAAUGAAUUGCACAGAUUCACCACCCUCUGACCAAAUGAAUUUCUCCUCAUCUCCAUUGUGAAGGGACAUCCUCCUAUUCUGAGGCUAUGCCCUCUGGUCCUGGACUCACCCACCAUAGGAACCCUCUUCUCCAUGUCCACUCUAUCUUGGUCUUUCAAUAGUCGAUAAGUUUCAAUGAGACCCCACUACCCAGUCUGCUAAACUCCAGUGAGCACAGCCCCACAACCAUCAAAUGCUCCUUACAUGUUAACCCUUUGACUUCUGCGAUCAAUUUUCGCAUUUCCUGUUUUUAUUUCAGAUCUCCAUCAUCUGCAGUAUUUUUUAUUCCCAUUAGAAAUUAACUUUCUGUUGGCUGACUGAACAGUCAAAGAAUUGGUUCACCCUCUCCACUUCUAUAUUUUUUAAUCAGUGCAAAAACCCUCAUAAACACAUCUGACAUUACAUUUUUCAACUAAUAAUGUCCUGAGGAAUAACUUUUAAUUCCUGUAGACUCAGGCUGCCAAUCAGAAAGGUUAGUUACCCUGCUUGAUGGCAUAAUUGUAACAUCCAGCAUGACAUCUAAAACUUUGACUAACUUCUAUAGAUGUGUAGCAGAGAGUAUAUUGACCGGCAGCGUCUCGGUCUGGUAUGGAAACACCAAUGCUCUUGAAUGGAAAAUCCUGCAAAAAGCUGUGGAUAUGGCCUAAUCCAUCAUGGGUAAAGCCCUUGUCACAGGAAAGCAGCACCCACCAUCAGGAACCCCACCACCCAGGCCAUGCUCUCCUCUCAUUGCUGCCAUCAGGAAGAAAGUACAGGAGCCUCAAGACUCUCACCACCAGGUUAGUUACUACCCCUCAGCCAUCAGGCUCUUGAACCAAAGGGGAUAACUUCACUCACACCAGCUCUGAUCUGUUCACACAAUCUACUGGAAGCACUUUCAAGAACUCUUCAUCUCAUGUUCUCAAUAUUUAUUGCUUAUUUAUUUAUUAUUAUUUCUUCCUUUGCACAGAUUGUUGUCUUUAGCACGUUGGCUGAAUGCCCAGAUGGUGCAGCCUGUUAUCGAUUCUGUUAUGAAUAUUGGAUUUAUUGAGUAUGCCUGCAAGAAAAUGCACUUAUAUAUAUAUAUAUAUAUUGAUAUAUGCACUUUGAUAAUAAAUUUACUUUGAGUAAUUGCUGCAGCUGCCACUCGUAAGAAGUCGCCACCGAUGCUCCCACCUGCCACGUCCCCCCAACGUCCCAGAGUCUACAGCACUCUAUGCGAUACAGUGCACACGAUACCCUCAGUGGCCUCUUUACGGGGUACAGGGGUGGAGCCUGGGGUGGUCUUCUGCUGCUGUAGCCCAUCACUUCCCGGUUUGAUACGCUGUGCAUUCUGAGAUCUCUUCUACACAGCACUGCUGUUAAGUGUGGCUAUUUGAGUUCCUGUCAGCUUGAACCAGUCUGGCCGUUCUCCUCUGAUCUCUCUCAUUAACAAGGCAUCUUCAUCCACAAAACUGACACUCACUGGAUGUUUUUUUUUGCUUUUAGCACCAUUUUCUGUAAACUCUAGAGAAUGUACUGCAUGAAAAUCGCAGGUGGUCAGCAGAUUUGGAGGUACAUGAACCAGCAAUCGUUCCACGGUCCAAGUCACUUCGAUCACAUUUCUUCCCCAUUCUGAUGUCUGUCUGAACAACAACUGCAUCUCUUGUAAUACACACAUGCUGAAGGAACUCAGCAAGACAGAAAAAGAAUAGUUGACGUUUCGGGCCGAGAACCUUCAUAGGCACCUUUUUGACCCACUUGAACCUCUUGACCAUGUCUGCAUGCUUUUAUGCAUCGAGUUGCUGCCAAAUGAUUGGCUGAUGAGAUAUUUGCUUUAAAAGUGUACAGGUGUACCUAGUAAAGUGGUCACUGUAGUAAUGUCUGAUUUUUACCCCAUCAGAAACGAUGCUAUGAAACCAGAGAUCUAUGAUGCUAUUUCCACUUGCCACUCUCCCGCACAAAAGGCAGACAAUUUUCUCAGCUUUUUCUCCAUGUGCUACCCGUACUGAGGAGCUCGGCACUCUUCCAACCACCUCAGUGAGGAGCUUCUCUUCACACCUGGGGUUCCUCCAAGCCUAGCAGAAGAAGGGUUCAGAGGCACCCCUGGAGGAUCAGCUGUUGUCCUUUGACUACAUACACAACAGGCCAGAGAAAACCGGUCUUCGUCAGGAAAAAGAACUGCAUAGGACUUCUUCUUGUUGAAAAACACCGAUUACUCGGAAACAACUCAAAAUAUCCUAUGAUCUGUCCGCUGUGUAGUUUUUUUUUUAAAACAAUAGAUCAUUCACCAAGUUGAUUGACCCAAUGGUUUGGUUGUUGAAGUUCACUGCAAUGAAAUGCCUUUUCUCCCACCCUCCCCUGAACCGACGGCCGAUUUUCUUGUCUCGCCAGAUGUUAUACUUCCGCCUGGAUUUUGUGCUUAUUGCACUGGCUAACCUCACACCCUUUCCCUAAGGAGACAGCAUUCAAUAAAUCUCCAGGUAUACCUCCCCAUCCAUGACUGCUCAUUCCAGGCCUGUUAUCCCUUUUCAUUCCCAACCAAGCAUUUUCGACAGGGAUGAGGAUUUGCGAUGAGAGGAAAGAAGCAGAAAAGCAAACGGCAAUGGUCAUCGAUGUGCAAUAGAUUCCCACUUAGUUACUAAUAACGCCACAUUAAACAAAACACCAAUACAGCAUUCAGGCACCAUCGAAAGAAGUGAUGUGCAUUGGGUUUCAACACAUUGGAGCUCACAAUGAGUUUCCUGCAAACUUACAAAACCGGUACACUAGAAUAUAACUUCAGAUCACAGAGUCUCACCUGGCAAGAUUACAUUACAUUACAAUGCCCUUGUUUGCAUGGUCUGUGUUUGACAAAUUAAGACAAACAAAAUUAGAUGCUUCAUGGUUAAUGACAUCAGCCAAUCAGAAUUCUUCUUACCCACUCUGGUUUUGGUAUUCAUUAUUAGUUCAAUCAAUCGAAAAAGGAAUGAUCAUGAGGUCAACACAAGGAAAUUAGAUGCCUCCUAUUUACACUGAGAUCUUAAAGUUCUCAUCUUUAAAUGCCUUCAUUGGUGGCCAGAUUGUAGAUAAUCUAUCAUUGGUUCUAAUGCCUUCAGCUGACCAGGCACAGAGUUCUGAAGUUUCCUCCUUGAAUCUCUCUCUCCCAAACCUUAUUGAUUCAGUUUAAUCCAUUAACUCCUGAUCAAAUUUUAUUUUGGAAGUGGAAGGGAUGGGUUAGAUUGAUUUUAGAGUAUGUUAAAAGGCCAAAUGGUCUGUACUGUGCUGUUAUUUUCUAUGCACGUGUUCCUAUAAAGGACCUUGGGAUGGUUUAGCAAGGCUAAUAUAUAAAUAUCAUAGCUCAAUGAUAGUCAGAUGGUCCUAAUUAUGUUCUGAUGCAAGCUUUCAAAUGGCUUUUAUGGGUUCCCAUUGGACCCAACCCUUGGCUAUUGAGAUGAACCCUACAGGAUCAGAGUUGGUUGAACUCCACUCCCCCAGUCAACCAGCCUAUCAACACACAGCUCUUGGGCUUACAUGCCUCACACAAAGAUACUGGAGAAAACGUGGCAUCAUCUUCACCCAAAUCCCCAGACGAGGCCAAGCUUCACUGACGUGUGAGGGUACUCUGUUGUUGUGGAUUCACGCCUGCUUGGGAGUGUGUCCACAUUUCUAUGAGGUGGCAUUUGUAAAAUCAGUGAGAUGCAGCACAGAAACAGGUCUCUCAGGCCGUCAGGUCCAUGCAGACCAUCGGCCACCCAUUAAUCCUGUACUAUUCUAACUUUUUAAAAUUCUUCCCCACAAUCCCAUCUAUUCCUCCAGAUUCUACCCCCGCCCAUGCAUUAAGAGCAAUACCACCGGCGCUAAGAGGCAGCGGCUUUACCCACCGCCAGCAAGCGAGCAGAUCUCCCGUCAGAAAGCUUUGCAUUAGUUCCAGUCCUGAGCUAUUCUAAUUAUACACUUGGCUAGAAUGCAGCUGAAAUAAUUCUCUCAGUGAACUGCAGAACACAGGCAAGGCUGUGCCUGGCAAGACUGGAGAUAUUCUAGUGAAAUCAUAACUCCAUGGUAAAUGCACUUUCCAAACACAUGGGUCACUAGUCACCUUCUCCAAUAGAAACCAGGCUCUGGCCAAUCCUACCAAAAGCUGAGAUUCGAAUGAUCAUCAGGAGUCCCUCCUAAGGCACUUGAGAUCUUAAAUAGAGGCUUCAUGUAAACAUUAGCCAUAAGGGAGCUGCCCUAGCUGAUUUAAUUGUUUGUGUUAUUUAGAGAUAACGUACGGCUGUAGGCCUUUCCGGCUCAACGAGCCCAUGGUACCUAGUUACACCAAUGUGACCAAUUAACAUAGCGACUGGCUAUGGUCUCGGUGCAGGUCGUGGGCGUGGCGGUUUAAGUAGUUCAGCAUGAAUUAGAAGGGCCAAAGGGCCUGUUUCUGUGCCGUAUGACUCUACCCCGUACAGCUUUGGAGUGUGUGAGCACCUGGAGGAAACCCGGUGGGGGGUGGGGGAGAGAACAUGCAAACUCCUCACAGGCAGUGGCAGGAAUUGAACCCAUGCCGCUGGAGCUGGAUUAGCCUCGCGCUAACCACUGCUGCUUACCCUUCAGCCAGCAGUCACAAAAUGAAUCCUGAUGAGUUGGCGGAGGUACGUACUACGGGUGUUACCUGCAGCGUCGCCUAUUGAGGGUGGGGUAGCAGUCCAAGGGCCGCCUCACAGUUCCAGUGUCCUGGCUUCAAUGUGUGGAGUUUUUUUUUACAUCCUUCUCUGUGACCAGAUGGGAUUUCCCCCAAGUACUGUGGCUUCCUCUCACAUCCUACAGAAGCACAGGUUGGUAGUUUAAUGCCCCUAGUAGUACCUCGAGCUGAGAUUGUGGUUACGGGAUACGUGGAAUUUGCAUAGAUGACUGAUGAUCAGUAUAGACUCAGAUUUCCACAUCGAGCGACUCCGUAACACAACAUGCAUCUGCAAAGCAUUUUGGAACAUCCUGAGGUCCAGGAAAUUUGGGAAUUCCCUCUGGAAACCUCUACUCCAGACUUGGAUACGCCACUGGAUGUGUAAUCCACUACAAGACAUCUCCAGGUCCUCUACCCUGCAAACUAUCUCCACCCACCAUCUCCUAGCUCAGGGGAGGUUCCCCGGUCUGCUUGCACCAGCCAGUAGGCUUACAUUGAACGCACUUCAAAUGUCAAAUUGUCCCAAAAUAGAUUGGUGGCCCACAGACUGCACUUUCAACUUGUAUUUUGGUUUGAGGUAGUGCGAGGCAGUGUACAGAGGGACAGAAGAGGAGGCAUUCACUUGAGGUGUUUAACUAUUACAAGACUUGCACUGGCAAGAGUUACACUCACAAAAUGCCGGAGUAACUCAGCAGAUCAGGCAGCAUCAAUAGAGAGGAAUAUAUAGUUGUUGUUUCGGGCAGAGACCCUUCUUCGGAACAUUGAUUAAUCUUGAUGCGUCCCGAAAUGUUAAAUCUUUAUUCCUCUCUGUAGAUUCUGCCUGACUUGCUGAGUUUUUCCAGUCUUUUGUGCACAUUGCAUACUAAUCUGGAUUUCCAGCAUCUGCAGAAUAUCUUGUGUUUAUGAUUGGCAAGAGUAAUAGAGUCAUAGAGCACUACAGCACAGAAACAGGCCCUUCAGCCCAUCUAGUCCACGCUGAACUGUUUUUUCUACCCAGUUCCAUCAACAUGCACCUGGACCAUAGCCCUCCAUACCCUUCCCAUCCAAGUACUUAUCCAAACUUCUCUUAAAUGUUGAAAUUGAACCCACCUCCACCACUUCCAAUGAAGCUUUUUCCACACUCCCUCCAUCCUCUGAGUGAAGUCCAUUUGAUUUGCUUUAACCUAACAGUUUGGUUGUUAACAGAGUUCUGUGGAAUACAUAUUCAACUUGGAAGGAGGAUGUUUGCUCAGACAGUGCUGGUAUAUAUCGGCCCCCUUCUUAUUCCAACUACUAACUGAUUCAACCCAAUCUUUGAGAUAUCAGACAUCACAUCUAAAGAGAGAUUGCAUUUGCCACAAGAUGAAUGGGAAGAGAGCUGAUGGAAACCUACAGUCCAACAGGACCGGACAUGUCAGAUACAGUAGGGAUGUUCCCAAUCGCAAGGGAUUCUGCGAUGCUGGAAAUCCAGAGCAACACAAACAAAACGCUGGAGGAAUUCAGCAGGUCAGGCAGCGUCUAAUGGAGAGGAGAUGUUCCCAAUGGUCAGGGAGCCCAGGAGCAAGGCUCAUGGACUAAGGAUAAGUGAUAAGUCUUUUAAGACCAAGGGGAGGGGACAAAUUUCUUCUCCCAAGAGUGGAGAACUUGUGAAAUUCUCUACUGCAGUUGAAAACAAUCCUUAAAUUUAUUCAAGGAGGAAUUCAAGGAGCUCUUAGGGUUAAGGAGACCAAGGGAGACUGGGGAGAAAGGUAUAUCUGAGUUGGGAUCAUCAGACUGAUUGCAAGAGAAGCUUGAACGGAUAAAUGGUCUGCCAGUAUUCUUGUUUUCAGUGCCCCGUGAUACCAGGAACGUGGAGUAUUAAACUUCUUUACCUGUUAGCUGAAGUGCAAAACUCUUUGAAGUUGCCGAUGAAGGCAUUUCAUACUAAUAUUCAUUCUUAAUGUUAGACAAAAUAAUUAUCUUAUAAAUUUCAUACCAUCCACCUGAGAAAAUACACACAUCUAGAUCUAAAUGAAUCAAGUAAACUUCUUUGUGUUCAUUAAUCAAGAAAUAUAUUUCUUAAAUCUUAGCUUUACGUAAAACAAUAGUUAUGUAGAAAAAUAACAAGGGUGCUAGAACUUCUUGGAGCUCUUCAUGUUAAAAAUUCAGCUUGGGAUCAAGAUUGGGACGAUUUGUGAUUGGGCUGUUGCAACACGGGGUGCUCGCCAGAAGUAGUGAUAUGCUCUUACAUUUAAGGUUGAAUUGAUUGGUUUCUUGAAACGAAGAAAGUGACGGGGCCCGGGGACAAAGUAGGGUAUCAGAAAUGGUUUUGUAAUAUAUACCCAGCACAGACGUCUCCUCCUCCUACACUGUAAACUUUGCUUUUAGAAGGCAGGAUCAGGAGAUUUUAUCUUCCCUUUCUCACAACCUUCUGAGAAUUAGGAAAUUAAAUUAAAAUGCCAUUCCCUGCUUUUGGUCAUUACGUCAGGUGACUGUGAUGCUUUCUAACACUUUUUUGGACUUUGGAAGUUGCAUACACUUGUUGAACACCCAAAUUUUGUCAAUUACAGGAAGAUUAUGAUUGGCUGAGAGCUGGAGUUAACAAAUAUCCCUCUCCCACCCCUCUUCUGUGGUCUGCCUCUGCCACCAGGUGUUUAACACUUUCCAUUGAACCUGCUGGCCCCAAAUGUCUACCUGAAUUUUCUAUGAAGAAAGUUUCCUUUCAGAACAGGGCUGGUACGGGCAUAGACAUGUUAACUGCCCAUCUGCUUUCAAUUCGAAUGAGCUCAUUUUGAAUUGCCUCUGGAAACUGAUCAGAUGGUUUCCAAUUCAAGUCAAGAAAGCUAAGGGUAACAGAUCCCUCUGUCAAUAAUCUCUCACUUUGUGUGGUCAAUCUCCCAAGAGGACCACAACCUUGUCAUGGUUUGGAGGCUUGUGUGCGUCAAUGACCCGGACAGCGAUGUUGGCUGGAGUCAGGGUUUAUGCUUUGGCUCUUGGUAGGGUCACCCAUGCCAAACAGGUCAAAGGGUAGAGGUCAGACUAAGAGUGAUCCGUAAGUCCUCCAGGUUCAGGGCUAACAACGCUGACUAGUCAAACAAAAUUGUUACAGAAACAGCAAAGAAGAAUCCUUCUACACCUGAGUCUCCGCCCGGGACUUGUGGGACUGACGGUAGUGAAAACCGGGAGGAAGCUACUGACAUGAUGCAGGAAGCCCUGAACACCGCCAGGGUUGGAGGACUCUCAUCGCUGCGCCAAACACCAGCAGCGUAACAGGCAGUAAGUUGUGUGCUGAAUGAUGUUAGCCCACAGUGCACCAGUCUAAUCAAGUCCAAUUUUGCAACUUGAAGUACUAGGAUUCAAGGACCCAAGUCACAACCUCAGUUAAAUGGAAUGCCCUGAGGUAUACCGUAACGUACAAAAAAUGAGCUGGCAAACAAAAACAGACCAUAAAGGGAACACUGGCAGGACCUCCUCUACAAGCCGAAGGGACGAGAGGCACACCAUCCCCAUUUGGAGGAUUACCUGCAAAUAUCUUACAGAAUAUAAAUUUUCAAAUUGUUUGUAAACCAAGAACCCAAAAUAAUUCGCACCUAAAACAUCUUGACUUAACUUACAACCAAACCUCUCCCUUAAAACCUCCAUGUAAGAUAAUCGAACAUGAUGCUUUAGAUCUGCCAUUUUGUGGGAACUGUGUAGAAACAUCCAAUUAGCUUCAAAAUCGUGCAAAGUACUGUUGGAAACCUUGACGAUUUUAACUUUAGAAAAGUUUAGCUUAAGCCAAUGAAAAUAAUGGUUCUGGUUCAACUUCCUUGCUGGGACCAUCUGGAAAGAUUCCCAGGAACCACACAAAAACAAAUAUCUCCAGCCAGUCGACCAACACGAUGACCACAGCUUUCUCGCUGGAAGUUACUAAGCCAGAGAAGAGAAAUGGUCACCAAGCAAUUUGGCUCUCCCUGUGUGAAAAUGGUGCAGAAGGGAAAACCUGGUCUGGACAUCGAGGGGAGCAAAAGUGGAAUGGUUGGAGACUACAAAAAAACAAAUCCAAUGGGGCUAAAAAUGAGAUUUUUUAAAAAUAUCCCCUUCAAGACAGCUAGUCUAUUGGAACGAACGUCAGGAGGGCAUAGGGCAGCAAUACAACUCUUUCACCCUCUCUGAUUCUCUACGCUCUCCAAACUCCUUAAAUGAACUUGCUGAUUAAUGAUGGGAGUUGGCUCCCCACAUAUGCCAUAAGAUCCUGGACUUCAGCAGCAUGCACAAUUCCAGCAAAAGGACACUGCGGCAGAGGCAGAGGCAAACAGCAUAGCUUUGGUGGCGGGCGGGGGUGGCUUUCGGAUGGAGCAUUGGGAUUGCUUGUCAAGUUUAGAUAGAAAAAUGCUCUUCCAAAAGCGAAGCGUCUGGAAGAGCUCAGUGCAGGUGUGGACAAUAAAUGCGAGGGAACGGGAGCCCCACAUCUUCCCAAUAAAAAAAAGAAA